rnacentral:rRNA from 1 species
CCUACGGGAGGCAGCAGUGGGGAAUAUUGCACAAUGGGGGAAACCCUGAUGCAGCGACGCCGCGUGAAGGAUGAAGUAUUUCGGUAUGUAAACUUCUAUCAGCAGGGAAGAAAAUGACGGUACCUGAAGAAGAAGCCCCGGCUAACUACGUGCAAGCAGCCGCGGUAAUACGUAGGGGGCAAGCGUUAUCCGGAUUUACUGGGUGUAAAGGGGGCGCAGACGGCGCUGCAAGCCAGGAGUGAAAGCCCGGGGCCCAACCCCGGGACUGCUCUUGGAACUGCGUGGCUGGAGUGCAGGAGGGGCAGGCGGAAUUCCUGGUGUAGCGGUGAAAUGCGUAGAUAUCAGGAGGAACACCGGUGGCGAAGGCGGCCUGCUGGACUGCAACUGACGUUGAGGCCCGAAAGCGUGGGGAGCAAACAGGAUUAGAUACCCUAGUAGUC